rnacentral:rRNA from 1 species
AACGAACGCUGGCGGCGUGCCUAACACAUGCAAGUCGAGCGAGAAAGUCUCCGCAAGGGGGCGAGUAAAGCGGCGCACGGGUGAGUAACACGUGGGUAAUCUGCCUAGGAGUCCGGAAUAACCUUCCGAAAGGAGGGCUAAUGCUGGAUAAGACCACGGGGACUUCGGUCCCUGAGGUAAAAAGGUGGCCUCUGUAUACAAGCUACCACCCCUAGAGGAGCCCGCGGCCCAUCAGCUAGUUGGCGGGGUAAUGGCCCACCAAGGCUACGACGGGUAGCUGGUCUGAGAGGACGAUCAGCCACACUGGAACUGAGACACGGUCCAGACUCCUACGGGAGGCAGCAGUGGGGAAUUUUGCGCAAUGGGCGAAAGCCUGACGCAGCAACGCCGCGUGAGUGAUGAAGGUCUUCGGAUCGUAAAGCUCUUUCGGCCGGGACGAAAACGGGUUGGCCAAUAUCCAACUCCUUGACGGUACCGGAAGAAGAAGCACCGGCUAACUCUGUGCCAGCAGCCGCUGUAA